UACCAGCACCCCGAGUGGUCGGGACGAUUAUUGGGCCUAAAGCAUCCGUAGCCGGUUCUACAAGUCUUCCGUUAAAUCCACCUGCUUAACAGAUGGGCUGCGGAGGAUACUAUAGAGCUAGGAGGCGGGAGAGGCAAGCGGUACUUAGUGGGUAGGGGUAAAAUCCGUUGAUCCAUUGAAGACCACCAGUGGCGAAGGCGGCUUGCCAGAACGCACUCGACGGUGAGGGAUGAAAGCUGGGGGAGCAA
rnacentral:rRNA from 1 species